AGAGUGGCCCGGGGGAUUAGCCGGGGGCUGUGAGCAGCCCGCUCUGCUUCCCUCGCCCCGGCCCCGGCCCCAGCCCUAUCGCUCAGGGGACGGGGCUUGGGGGAAGGGCUCCCCCCUGCACUCAGCGGGAGCUGCAGAAGCGGAGCAGCCCGGCCCCAGCCAGCUCCCAGCCGCAGCGCUCCGCUUCCCGGCGCCGGUGCAGGGUACCUUACCCGCCCCCAAGCGACACGGCUGGGGCCGGGGCAAGGGAAGAGGAGCAGGCUGGAGCCGCGUCGCUCUGCUUCCCGCUGCCGGUGAGUGCGGGGGGCUGAUCCGCGGGGAGCGGAGCGCCGCGGCUGGGAGCUGGCGGAGCGGGACGGGCUGGAGCCACGUCGCACCGCUUCCCACCGCUGACGGCCAUAGAACGUCAGCCAGCAAUUACCAUUCCUGUCUGAGAAAUAACAUGCCUUUUAGAAAUAUAUCCAGUCUUGAUUUACAGACUUCAAGUGAUGGAGAAUCCACCAAGUCCUUAGAUAAUCUGGAGAUUAAAAAUAUACAACUACUGAAGAAUGUUGAGGUUUCUGAAUUGUACUGAAAAUAGCCUGGAUAUUCAAAGUUAAGGCUGGCACUACAUUUAACUCAGUGUGAGGGGGGGAAAAAGCAUAUUGGAGCGGUCCUCAGAUCAUGGCAAACUUAAGUUUGAAGAGGAUGUUGACCAGGUGGUUCUGCAGUUUCUUUGAGAGCGUGUGGCACAAGCUGUCAGCAUAGUCUGUGUGGAAAGAAUAAAGAACAGUGCCUGGUUGCCCAAUAACGAUUGCAAGAGAAAAUACACAACACAUAUGUAUAUUCAUCCUGUUAAGAGGAGCUUUAUGCAUUAACAAUUUUGUUCAUAUGGCAUUUCAUUUCCCUCUGUCAUUUCACAUUAGUUUGCCCUACUUGUAUUUUUCAAUCCAGAAAGAGAAUAUUACUUACUGAUAAUAUGUUCCAAACAGUAUUACGUAGAAAUGGUAAGCAGCAUCUGUUCUAGUGCUUUGAAGGUGCACAAGGAGGUUGAUGUUGCUUGCUGAGUAAAGUUCUGAUUUGCAGAUGUUCGCAUCUCAGACUAGGAGAGCUAAUUAUUUAAAAAUUGGAAGAUGCUUUUGUUGGACUGUCUGAAUCUUAAGAAGUGUAAUGUUUCUGAAAUAUGUUCAUUUGUCUCUACUACAAAGGUGUUAAAGCAAUUUUUUUUAAAAAAGCCUGAUGUUUGUAAUGAUUACAUAUUGCUCUUCCAAUUACCUUCCUUCUGUUUGAAAAUUGCUCAAAGAUUCAAAAGAGAAGUUUAAAACAAACUGUCAUAAAUAUAAAGGGAAGGGUAAACCCCUUUAAAAAUCCCUCCUGGCCAGAGGAAAUCUCCUCUCACCUGUAAAGGGUUAAGAAGCUAAAGGUAA